rnacentral:rRNA from 1 species
UUUUAGGAUCGUAAACUUCUGUUAAGUGAAAAGAAAGAGUCGUCUCUAAUACAGACGAAAGAUGACGUUAUCACUAAAGAAAGCACCGGCUAAUCUCGUAC